rnacentral:lncRNA from 1 species
CGGCCGCGGCGGGCAGGACCGGCGGGGGGCGGCAGGCUGCCGAGGCGACGGAGACCCGAUCCCGGGUGGCCAGGCCUUGCCCUGACCACAGGCUCAGCAUGGAGAGCACCCUCCGACUACCGGGUGCUGGACAGCGCCAGGCCAGAAUGACUCUGAGACACCUCAGAAAGUAUCUGCACAUGGAAAACAGGCAGGCUGCCUUUUGUUGCGUUACUUUACAGUCAGAGCAUCGGAAGGAAACCAUUGAUGGCCUGUGUGAAUACAAUCUGCACAUCAUCUAGUAAAUUGCCUCUGCUGACCCACACAGAACUGCAUGAACUCAUGAAGGAAAUCA